CGUUAUUUUGAGCUCGAUAAAUAUGCUGUCAGUCGAACAGCAAAAAGAUCAAUUUACAAACUACAUUAUUCAUACUGUCCGUAUUAUACAAGAAUGUAUUAUUAAUAGAAAAUUCAAUGCUACUAUGUUGCAACGUUACCCAUAUCGCUGUACACGGUUGUCUCAGUUAAACGAAAUCGCCUAAGAUAUCUGCCUCGUUUACGAUCGUAUAAGGAAGAAUUCUCAGGACAAAGUUGGACCACUUACGAGGAAAGAAUCUUCUCGCAAUUUUCUUUUUCUUAAGGAGACUGCAAGGUUAUCGGUAUUUUUUUAAAAUAGAACUCUGCAUCUCUGUUUAUACCAGACGACGUGAUCUCUUAUUCGCUGUAUUCUUCCUAAACUAUGGGAUCCGGUCCCGCAUCAGAGUUGGUGGUCAUUUGUGCAACUGCCGUAAGACCAGUGAGACAAAAGACAUCAGAGGUUUAGGUGAUCUCGUUUAGUCGAGACACCCUGUACAUGUGCUGGGUAUUAUAUAACAAAUUUAUACAAAUAUCGUCGCUGUUUAUCUCUCGAUUCUACCGACAGCCAAUGCACGUGUCGGCUAAUUUAAAGGAAAAAUCGAGCAACCCUCGCGAGAAGAUUUACAUCUAGAAUGGAUAUCAAUGACACGUAACGUAGGCUAAUUUAUUUCAUCGCUAAAUCCGGUGAUAUACGCGUGCACGGUGCACGACCGGUUACAUAAUCCGCUGAAAGCAAUGCAUUUCAAGUAUCUAACGUGGUGAAUGAGUAUCGUCUCGUGCAACAGCCAUACGCUAGGGUUGCAGGCUAGAGACAAGAAGGCUAGAGAUAAAGAAAAAGGUGUCAGAACGCUGGUAAAACUUCUCCAACAGAGAUUAGCGUUCGUUUAUUUCGUAGAAUUCUCGUUAGAGGGGAAAGGUUUCCCGUUGAAAAGGAUCCGAAGCGAUUAAUUCUCUCGUUGAUCGUCUUAUUAAUUUUCUCGUUGCCAAUUCUCUGCAAAAUGUAAGCCUUCCUGAAUAAUUGGCGAAUAUAAGUAAUUGACUUUUUCCUUUUUUGUCUGAUCGUAAUAUUUCUAACCGCCACGAACAACAUCCUGGCAGCUAAAGAUAGUUACGACAUUUAACAGAAACGACAGAGAACGUUUUUCACGUACCACCAUGUAUAUAUGGCUAUGCGAUGAUUUAAUUAGAAUUUCAUCAAAUAUUUUCAAAGAUACUGAACGUGUAGAAACGAAUGCUUCGACGUUGAUUAAUCAGUUAGCUGUUACGACGAACGAGAUCACGUAACAUCGAAUACUAUUAACGAUUUUUUCAUUUUCAAGGAACGUAACGGGUAACGAAUCCUUUAUGGAGAAAAUCCUUCACGGGGAAGAAAAGAAUGGAAAUUCAGCGAUAAUCAAGCGUAUCAAGAAUCGUAAAAUUACGUUACGACAGCCAGUUAACGACUGGCUUCGUUGCAUCUUCGUUUAUCUGUUUGCCUGGACACAGAAGAAUGGUACACGUGUCAUAAAAAUGAACAAGCUGCUCGUAAACAUUUUUCUUUAUUACUAUUGUUCUUGCGUUUGGCUUUCGCCCGUCAUAAGCUUCGGUAAUAAGUGGGUUGCGAGUAAAAGUAGGAAACUAUUUAAUAAGGUCGCAAAAAUGUAUAAGCAACGAUUCAUUCCUAUCCCUGUUACUAGCAAUUCGUAUCACGUUGGCCCCAAAUUCUCGCCGCACUCUGUACGAAGUAGCGCGUUCUGUUCGCCUCCCUAAUUUGCCUACUGUUUAUAUUUACGUUCUAUUCGCGGGCAGUUCCUCAGCGAGCGUUCGACCCAAGCGUUCUGCUUUCUUUCUGCAACGUGUUUGACGUAAUUCUUCAUUCAUACAUCGUGGUACUUUGUUUAUUCUGUUCACGCGACGAUAGCAAGUUUGUAAACGGGGUUCGAAGGUGGUCAUUUCGAACAACUGCUACGAAGAUAAGAACUUAUGGGUUAAUAGUAGUAGUAAUAUUUAUAUACAAACUUAAGGUACAAAUAAAUCGUGUUUCAGGUUUAUACAGUGGAUAAACUGUUUCGUUAAAGUUAUAGUCUCUUGUUGUUACCUACUUCGCCCGAUUAGCUUCCUUCGGUUCGCUCCUAUCGCGUUGCCUGGUUUAUUUUCCUGUUCGUUCUUUCACGCAGGAAGGUCUAAAUCCCAUGCACGAUUUUCUGCACGUGUAUGUAUCUUUUAUUAGCUUUUCUUCUUGAAAAGAAAAGAUACUUGUAAUAUUCAUACUUUGUCGAGAAUUCUGUUUAGAUUUAUAUCGAGGACACUUGACCACAGUAUGUUCCAAUGUCUCCACUUUGUUCCAGUUGCACAGUUUGCAAUUUGCAUUGUCGUUAAUAAAAUACGUAACACCCUCGACGUUUACCUUCCACCCAGUUUUACUCGAUGGUCUUACUGGUGCCAGGGUUGUUGCGUAGGUAACAGCUAUAUUUAAACCUAUACAUUUUGCUUGUUCUCUUCUCUGUGCAACUUCUUAACGCAUUUAUGCGAGCAGUUGCAGAUUACUGGAACGCGAAAAUGGCUGUAACUUGGAAAGAAGGUCAGGCAGGACACGCGUUCUUACGACGCGGAUUCCACGCGUUACGAUACACCCUGUAUAUCUAUCCGAUGCAUAAUGCAGAUAUCAGACGAGUGAUAUUUCAGAGGAGUUUACGGUGCGCGAUUCGUGGCGAUCGCGGCAUUUAUUUCUGUCUCCGAGCUAGUCAACUAAUCGUUACCUGGCGCUAAUAAAAUACUUCCAUCCUGUACGUCGACUCGAUCCUUCGGCUUGUUCGCUUUUGUGCAACAGCCACACACAACGAAUUUCUCGGCUCGAUCUCGGUUAUCUUCGGCAUAGCCGGAUCACCGACCCGGGUAUCGGUGAUCGGAUACUCGCUUAUUUAUACGACUGUAUCGGUAAUUACCUAUGAGGGAAGACCCUGGAGAUAGGGCGGAACUUGAUUUUUCCGGCCGAUGGAAAAACCUGUUCUCGAAACCGAAUAAAUCCACUGUUUUACGAUAUUUCAACGACUCUACGGUCCCUCUGCUAUCGACACGGAAUCUUUCUUCGCUUACAGUUAAAUGCUGAAGCCGCGUGCUCGUUGAACCGACAACGAGCAACCUUCUGUUGUCAGGUGUUGGCGGCUGGUUCAAACCGUACUCGACCGCGUCGGCGAUUUUGACGCGAAGCAAAAGCAGCGAAACCCUAGACGAGAAAAUGUCGUUUCUUUCCCUCCACUUGCUUUUCCACGUGAAAUAACCAGCCGACCGCUUGUAUCGGGAUUUCGCAGACACGCUGUAUAUUACAGAAAGCCGAAUAGAAGGAAAACAAGCGACAUAGCGCACGAACUGUUGUGAAACUGUUUCCUCGGGGUAGUACACACCUUUCAUAGCCGAAUGUUUAACGAUAUUUAUGUCGACAAAAAAGAUCCAUCGAAAGUUGGUUCUUAACAAAAAGUAUCGCGAGGAUUGUGGCCGCCUCGAAGGUUUGCUUGGGCAACGAUCGCUGUUGGCGCGAGCUGGCACGAGAUAAAGCGAGAAAGAAAGAAUAAAGCGAGCUUUCGUCGGUGAUUGCAUUCGCUACGGAUUUUCCGGCAGCACGCGAAAGCAGCGUCUUCGUCGUCCUGAAUUAUUCACGGCCGAUGUUCGUGAAUUAAGAUCACCCACGGCAUUCCGGGAACGGCGACUGGUUUUCGGCAGAAGAUACAGCAACAACGCGGUCAUCCCUUCUGGCUCCGAUGCUUUGUACCGUUCAGCCCGCCCUGUAAAUCAUCCAUCGAAUCAGCGGUUGUGCCGUCACGUUGAGCAAAAUUUAACGCGGUACCUUCUGCUCGUGACGUCGGUUGUUAUCUCAGUGGUUAACUCAGCGCAUCGGAGUGCACGUUAGGAGUGAAUUUUUGAAUGAAUUGUUCAUUUAUCGAAAGACGUCGCUGCUUUUUCUACUCCGUGGCCAGAUGCUUUCAACGAAGUCUCUGCUCUUUGCUGUUUGACGAUGCAACAUCGAGUCGCUGCCUCUCUAUCGACUUAUCCUUCGUCAAACUGUUUCACGCGUCCUGUAAACCGAUAUUCGGCAACCUAUUUGCUAGGAAAUGUUGCUCCGAGGAAGAACGCUCCGGCGUAGCUAGUAACCUUGAAGUUAAAAUUUACCACUUCGAUUACCACGUCGAUCGUCGAUGAGACGACUUGUUUCCUUUUACUAAGCGCCACUUGCGUUACAAGUUGCUCUUUCGAAAUUCCACUUCUACCUAGAGCAGCUCUAUUCGUAGCACAAAAGCUUAGAAUGGUCGGUACUAUACUAGUCUCACCUACGUGCACUUCUACCGUAGAAAACACGUUAGUUUCUUUUUAUUUCUCCCUAUGAUUAGAAAAAAAAAGAAAAGAAUGGAACGGUUGAGCCAAACUGGUGAGCAAUUCGUAAGCUAAUCGGAUGCUAGUUCUGGACAUGUUAAUAUUUCAUCUGUGCCGGUUAAUAUAUGUAUAGUACCUGGUUUCUUUGGGCAUCACUGACUGGCCUGCCGGUUACAGCUUACAACCGGUAAUUAUAACCCUCCGUAUAAUUAUACAAAGUAGGCGUGGUGAAUGUUUAUUACGGGACGCCUUCGACCAUUUCACCGUAUACUUUUCGAAAUCGUUUUUUCUUAACACUACGCCUGUGUAAAAACACGUGGGCCGCAACAACAUGCCAGGUGACUUGGCAGACUUUUUCCCUUUUUAAUGUGUCGCAGGCUGCGCAUCUUUAUGGAAGUGCGAUCGACGAUCGGGCAAUCAACCGGCAGUGCAAUGGCAGCAGUACCGGAUACGAAGGUUGCGAGUACCUUUGUUGCGGCCGAGGACACGUGACGAAAACGGAAGAAGUUUUAGAGCGAUGCGACUGCAAGUACAUCAGCUGCUGUUACGUCAAAUGCAAAAC